CAGUCGCCGCGGUAAUACGAAGGGGGCUAGCGUUGCUCGGAAUGACUGGGCGUAAAGGGCGCGUAGGCGGCGAUCAAAGUCAGGCGUGAAAUUCCUGGGCUCAACCUGGGGGCUGCGCUUGAUACUUGGUUGCUUGAGUGGGGAAGAGGGUCGUAGAAUUCCCAGUGUAGAGGUGAAAUUCGUAGAUAUUGGGAAGAACACCGGUGGCGAAGGCGGCGACCUGGUCCUUGACUGACGCUGAGGCGCGAAAGCGUGGGGAGCAAACAGGAUUAGAUACCCGUGUAGUCCCUGUCUCUUAUAC
rnacentral:rRNA from 1 species